UUGCAUUCAGGAGCCCUCCCACUGAAAAGAACCAAAAUUCAAUUUGAAUUUUUCAACGUAAUCAUGGUCUGAUUCAUAUAUUUAACUGAAUAUGAAUAGCUAAUUUAUUGGAUGGGGUUAUAAAUUAUUGAUGUAUAUGUGUACGUUUCUCAUUGCGUUCAGCGGUCAGUGGCCAGACUCAGAUAAUGACAUUAAAGCAACAACUUGUUGCCAAAAGGCUGUUGAAUAGAGGCCAGCAAAAUAUUUCAGUUUCAAAAUUGCCUUGUCUCCACAUGAAGAAGAGGAAUCAUUCAUCAUCAUUCAUCCAGACU
rnacentral:misc_RNA from 1 species